rnacentral:rRNA from 1 species
UGGUUAACUGUAGUAAUUCUAGAGAUAAUACAUGCAAUUAAAACUCGGACCUUUUGGAACGUGUGCUUUUAUUAGGUUAUAACCAAGCUAUUGCAAGAUCGUUAUGUUGGUUGAAAUCUAUGGUCUUGUACUAACGACAAAUCUUUAAAAUGUGCGCCCUAUCAACUUUUGAUGGUAGCAUCUAGGACUACCAUGGUUGCAACGGGUAACGGGGAAUCAGGGUUCGAUUCCGUAGAGGGAGCCUGGGAAACGGCUACCUCGCUCGAAGUGGUAGUACCGAAAAAUAACAAUACAGGACUCAUAUCCGAGGCCCUGUAAUUUGAAUAAGUACACUUUAAAUCUUUUAACAAGGACCUAUUGGUGGGCAAGUCUUGUGCCAUCAGCCGCGUUAGUUUCAGCUCCAAUAGCGUACAUUAAAGUUUUUGCGGUUAAAACGUUCGUAGUUGAACUUGUGCUUCAUACGCGUAGUACAACUUACAAUUGUAGUUAGUACUAUACCCUAAUGUAUGUAAGCGUAUUACCGGUGGAGUUACUAUAUUUAAUUAAAUACCUGUAUGUUCUUAUAUAUUCCUCCUAUUUUAAAACCUGCAUUAGUAUUCUUUAACGAGUGUUAUUGUGGGCCGGUACAAUUAUUUGGAACAAAUUAGAGUGCUUAAAGCAGGGCUUCAAAUGCCUGAAUAUUUUGGGGUCAUUAGUAUUACGACGCGAGAGGUGAAAUUCUUGGACCGUCGUAAGACUAUCUUAAGCGAAUUGGCAGUAAAAUGUACAAAUUGCGUCUAGCAUUAACGAGAGCAAUAACAGAUCUGUGAUGCCCUUAGAUGUCCUGGCUGCACGCGCGUUACAUUGAAAGUAUCAACGUGUAUUUCCUAGACCGAGAGGUACGGGUAAACCACUGAACCACUUUCAGGUUUGGGAUUGUGAACUGAAACUCGUAUACUCAGUAACUCGUAUUGAUUACGUCCCUGCCCAUAGUACAUUAUUGUGUGUCUUUCCCGGUACUCCUUAGAUAGAGGCAAAGCACUAUGAGCAUUA